UACGACGGUGAGGAUGAUGGUAGCUCUACCUCUGUCAGUUCCACCUACAGCUACCCGUCGGCACCCUCCUUUGUGUGGCCACCACAACCACAUCGAUGGCUGUCCCUCCGCGUCCUCUAUAUGGAUAUCCUCAUAUGUACUAUCAAGGAUACCUCCCAUAUGGAAAUCCUCACAUGUACUAUCAGGAAUAUCCCCCAGAGCAAGAUCCCUCCGAAUGAGUACCUAAGUAUGUAGGAUUCGACGUUACAAUGGGAGUCAUCAACAAAUUCCGGUCGGUCGUAAGGUUUUCCUAUGCGAAAACACCGAAAUAAAAAUUUUAGAGUAUAUUUUGUGUUAACUAUUUGAGACUUGUAUUAUUUGAACCUAUAUUUUAUUUGAACCUAUAAAUUGUGUUAACAAGUUGAACCUAUAUUUUAUUGCAUUUGGAUUGUGGUUUGUAUUGA